CCAGGAGAAUCAGAAGUACACAGCUUUCUACUUGAGAGCACACGGUGAGAAUAAAUACUCCCUGGGAAGGCCUAUCAGAAGGAAAGACUGCAAGGCGGUGUGGGAGCCAGAUGACAUACAGGACACCAGUUAUAUUUGAGCUUCUGAUAAUGAAUAAAAAAAUGUUUUAAUAAACGGAGCAGAGGCCAUGGGUAAGGUGGACAAGCAAAGCUGAGGCCUUUGGGCUUAAUCAUGAAGACUCUAAAGAUGAAGCUGACCGGGCAUCACUGGCCAGACCACAGGACCCCUGGAAAGCUGGGCCCCCGCCUGAAGGCGCUGCCUUCCAUGUUACUUAUUUUCCUCUAGAAAUCUAAGCACAUCUAGAAACCAGAAGCUCCAACUGCUUGGCAACUGCACUGGAAAUGCAACAGG